CAUGCCAACCAUAGAUAUUUUAAAACAUUUCAAGUCGUAAAACUAUUUUGUUUUUGUUUUGAGUUAAAUAUUUCAUUCCAAAGUACGAAUGGCAAAAGUCAAAUUGCAUAGCUAUAAUAAGAUCGAUUGUUAUUAAUCUGAAUAUAAUAAUCAUAAGAUAUCAAUACAUUGGUUUGGACGGUUUGGUUCAAGUAAUGGACGAUCCACAACGCUUAUAAUAGCCAGUAGGCUGCCAGGCACCAGCAUUGGUAUACUGUAUACUUACCUAACGAGCAUUCGAGCAGCUUAUAAUUUAUAUAGUAAUAUACUUACAACAAUGAUAUAUAAACAGCGAAU